rnacentral:rRNA from 1 species
AGAGGUUGAUCCUGSCUCAGGAUGAACGCUAGCGACAGGCCUAACACAUGCAAGUCGAGGGGCCUGUAGCAGUACGUGGCGACCGGCGCACGGGUGAGUAACACGUAUGCAACCUGCCCGUAAGCGGGGGAUAACCCGGAGAAAUCCGGACUAAUACCGCAUAAUACUGUUGGACCGCAUGGUCCGGCAUUUAAACAUUCAUGGCUUACGGAUGGGCAUGCGCAUGAUUAGCUAGUUGGUGGGGCCACGGCCCACCAAGGCGACGAUCAUUAGGGGUUCUGAGAGGAAGGUCCCCCACACUGGUACUGAGACACGGACCAGACUCCUACGGGAGGCAGCAGUGAGGAAUAUUGGUCAAUGGGCGGGAGCCUGAACCAGCCAAGUCGCGUGAAGGAAGAAGGUUUAUGGAUUGUAAACUUCUUUUGCAGGGGAAUACGCUGCAUGUACCCUGCGAAUAAGGAUCGGCUAACUCCGUGCCAGCAGCCGCGGUAAUACGGAGGAUCCGAGCGUUAUCCGGAUUUAUUGGGUUUAAAGGGUGCGUAGGCGGGCCCUUAAGUCAGUGGUGAAAGUUUGCGGCUCAACCGUAAAAYUGCCAUUGAAAYUGAGGGCCUUGAGUGCAAAUGAGGUAGGCGGAAUGUGUCGUGUAGCGGUGAAAUGCUUAGAUAUGACACAGAACACCGAUUGCGAAGGCAGCUUACUGGGAUGCAACYGACGCUGAGGCAMGAAAGCGUGGGSAUCAAACAGGAUUAGAUACCCUGGUAGUCCACGCAGUAAACGAUGAAUACUAGCUGUAUGCGAUAUAUGUAUGCGGCACAGCGAAAGCSUUAAGUAUUCCACCUGGGGAGUACGUUCGCAAGAAUGAA